AGCCGGAGCAAUUGAUGACGUCCCCGUCAUCAGCGCCGGCUGUUCCCCUCUGGAGGUUUUAGACCUUCACACCUGACGGGCCUCGGAGCAAUCUGGAGGCCCUUUUU
rnacentral:sRNA from 1 species